CUUUUUCAAACCUAUACUAUGGUUGGUAAAUUAUUUUUACCAAGCCACGAGUUGGAUCACUUCCCAAUGCCAGGGCUCUGACACCCUGCCUCGCACAGGGCUCUAGCUGUGCCCUUUUAAAAGCCAAGGUGUAUCACGGAUUUAGAACUAAGUGGCCUUCAUCAUGUUGCCAUCUUUCUUUGCUCUUUCAUUUCUUCGCUGCUCUCUCUUUUCUCCAAAUGUGCUUUUUUCUUUUCUCUUUCUACUUUGCCUCUUUUUUCCAGGAGGGAUAAGACUGAGAAGAAGGAAUGGAAGAGAAAAUCGCUUUAGGUGAAAGGGAAGGGGAGUGAGAAGGGGUCACCUGGUACCCAGCAGACGGGCCAGCCUUCAUGCAGAAGGUAAAUGGAGGGAAACCAUCCCAGAGCAAGCACUAAAGCAGCAAGGAAGAAGUAGCACAGAUUGGCGUUCUCCUCUGUAUGGAUGGAGACAGUGAGUACAAAGGCAGGCUCAGAGUGGAGAAGAGUCUUGUCUGAAGUCACCAAGUGCGUAAGCGGCAAUCACAGAACCAGAAACCAGGACUCCUCCUGCUCAUCAUGCCACCUUGUAGCUUCCUGGAGCUCCAAAUGCCUGGACCCUGAAAUGGUGUCACAGACUUCUGCUUGUGAUUUGCGGCUGAGACUUGGAGCUCCAGCUUUGGCUUCCAGAAUCUCUGAAUUGACAGGUAUUGGGGCAAGGUAGACACUUCUGACAUCUUUCUUGGGUCAAACAAUCAUAUGUGCUCAAAAGAUGUCUUCAUUCUGAAAAAAGGAGUAUUCUCUAGACAAGUGCAUUACCUAGUGGACCACAGGAGUGAGUGAGAACAGGGAAGGAAGAAGGCAAAAGUGGUUGUGUUUUGCAAAUUAGAUGAUGAUAAGGAUAAUUGCUGCAGUUCCCUUUCCUAGAGGUAGUACUCAGUGAGUGGGAUAUCCUGCUCAGAGAGAGCCCAACCUGUCCACUCAUUCUCAUGCCUGAUCAUCUGACAUCUUUGAUAGAGGCCAACAAUAAUAAUUUACAUUUACUGAGCAC
rnacentral:lncRNA from 1 species